AAAACAUUUCUUUUUGUAGUUAUUAAAAGUAUGCUCUGCUCGGUGGUAAAUUUAACAGCGGCCUUAACUUGAGGGUCCAAAGGUAGCAUAAUAAUUCGAUUCUUAAUUGGAGUCUAGUAUGAAGGAGUAUGCAUUAUAUACGCUGUCUCGUAUGAAUAAAUUGAAAUUAAUUUUAAGGUGAAGAAGCCUUAAUAUUUUAGAAAGACGACAAGACCCUAGAAGCUUAAAUUUAUCUUGGAAUAAGUCUUCCAAAAAAAUUUUUGUUGGGGCAACAAAAUAAAAAUGUAUUGUUUUUUAUGUUGUACUGACUGGUGUUAACUUUUAUUAUGAGGUUGGUAAGCUACUCUAGGGAUAACAGCGCAAUCCUUUUUGAUAGUUGGUAUUGACUAAAGGGUUUGCGACCUCGAUGUUGGCUUUAGGUAGCGUAAAAGUGUAGAAGCAUUUAUUAGUGGAUCUGUUCGAUCUUUAAAUCCUAACGUGAUCUGA
rnacentral:rRNA from 1 species